UACAUGCCCUUCAGUGGGGAAUAGCCCAGGGAAACUUGGAUUAAUACCCCAUGGUAUCGCAAGAUUAAAGGUGGCCAGCAAUGGCUGCCGCUGAAGGAUUGGUUCGCACCCUAUCAGCUUGUUGGUGAGGUAAUGGCUCACCAAGGCUACGACGGGUACCUGGUCUGAGAGGACGAUCAGGCACACUGGAACUGAGACACGGUCCAGACACCUACGGGUGGCAGCAGUCGAGAAUAAUUCACAAUGGGGGCAACCCUGAUGGUGCAACGCCGCGUGGAU
rnacentral:rRNA from 1 species